AUGUCCAUCAGUUUCAUGUUGAAGAAGCAGAUCAGAACGCCUUCGAGGACCACCUUCAGGCCCAGACUGAGAAGGUUGUGGAGGUUUUUGCCAGGUAUGGUGCUGUUAAGGUGUAUGACUACAGUUGUUAUGACACCACCCCAGAGUUUCUCUCACUACUCACCUCUCUCACCUUUUCCAGGGACCAUCCCUCACCUCCCUCAUCUUUUCCAGGGACCACCCCUCACCUCCCUCAUCUUUUCCAGGUACCAUCCCUCACCUCCCUCAUCUUUUCCAGGGACCAUCCCUUACCUCCCUCAUCUUUUCCAGGGACCAUCCCUCAUCUUUUCCAGGGACCACCCCUCACCUCCCUCAUCUUUUCCAGGGACCAUCCCUACCUCCCUCAUCUUUUCCAGGGACCAUCCCUCACCUCUCUCAUCUUUUCCAGGGACCAUCCCUUACCUCCCUCAUCUUUUCCAAGGACCAUCCCUUACCUCCCUCAUCUUUUCCAGGGACCAUCCCUUAACUCCCUCAUCUUUUCCAGGGACCAUCCCUCACCUCCCUCAUCUUUUCCAGGGACCAUCCCUCAACUCCCUCAUCUUUUCCAGGGACCAUCCCUCACCUCCCUCAUCUUUUCCAGGGACCAUCCCUCACCUCCCUCAUCUUUUCCAGGGACCAUCCCUCACCUCCCUCAUCUUUUCCAGGGACCAUCCCUCACCUCCCUCAUCUUUUCCAGGGACCAUCCCUCACCUCCCUCAUCUUUUCCAGGGACCAUCCCUCACCUCCCUCAUCUUUUCCAGGGACCAUCCCUCACCUCCCUCAUCUUUUCCAGGGACCAUCCCUCACCUCUCAUCUUUUUCCAGGGACCAUCCCUCACCUCCCUCAUCUUUUCCAGGGACCAUCCCUCAUCUUUUCCAGGGACCAUCCCUCAUCUUUUCCAGGGACCAUCCCUCAUCUUUUCCAGGGACCAUCCCUCAUCUUUUCCAGGGACCAUCCCUCAUCUUUUCCAGGGACCAUCUCUCAUCUUUUCCAGGGACCAUCCCUCAUCUUUUCCAGGGACCAUCCCUCAUCUUUUCCAGGGACCAUCCCUCAUCUUUUCCAGGGACCAUCCCUUACCUCCCUCAUCUUUUCCAGGGACCAUCCCUCAUCUUUUCCAGGGACCAUCCCUCAUCUUUUCCAGGGACCAUCCCUUACUUCCCUCAUCAACCCCACUGA
rnacentral:lncRNA from 1 species